GAAGUGUGCGCUUGACCUGGAGGAGCCAUCACCGGAAGUGUGCGCUUGACCUGGAGGAGCCAUCACCGGAAGUGUGCGCUUGACCUAGAGGUGGCCAGUCAUAGAGCCAGAACAGCCGCAGGACCCGAGACAAUCAGCCUCGGGGAUAUGGGGCCUGUGGGGAGUGAAUGAGCCAAAACAGCAUCCAACGACACCGAGCCGGAUGGAGCCAAACCAGACUGGCUUGGACCACACUGGACAGACCGAAGCUGGAGUGAACCACACACAGCCCCGAGCGCAGGCUCUCCUAUGCUCUUGGCAGAUCUGAGCUCCCAACUGAGUGUGAAGUCCAAAACUUUGUGGCCUUGUGGUUUUCCUCCAAAGACUUCUCAGAACCCUGUCACUGCAGGAGAGAAAAACCACAGUGACAUCUUGAGAUGACAUCCCCAAAGACACAGACGUAAUUCUGCAGCCGAUUUCUUGUCUCCAGCUCAGGCGAGUGUUGUCUCCAGGCCCUGGGAUGGUUUUCAUUUAGGUCAGAAAGCAGUUCUUCAGAUAACUUUUAAAAAUCUUCCUUCUGAUUGUAACCAUGGCGAUAAAGAUUGUUACACACGUUGGAAAUAAGUAAACUCAUGAGUCAGAUUAUCAGCAGGUCAGCAAACCAGUCCAUUCCUCCUGUGGGACAGUCUUCCUCGGAAUCCGUCGGCUCUGUUGGUUUUGGGAGGGUGAUGACUCAUACAAGCAGUCUCUACCUUUCCCCCUCCGUCUCAGGGAAGCCUCGUCCGUCCUGAAGACACAUUCCACUCAUCUGGGGGCUGUUUGAAAAAAUGCCAGGCCAGGGCGCCAAGCCAGAGAAACUACAUCAGAAUCU